GCCAGUGUGGUAUAGUGGUUUGAGCAUUGGACUACAACUCUGGAGACUAGGGUUCAAAACCCCACUCAGCCA